rnacentral:tmRNA from 1 species
GGGCGCGCACUGGAUUCGAUUUAAGUUGAAUUUAGUAUAGUGCAAGUCGAAGAGAUGCCAGGCUUCGUAAAAAGGCAUAAGUUCAUACAUGGCAAAAAUAAAAGUCGUGUUGUAGCUUUCAGCCCAAAAGCUGAAAAGCUCGCAUUAGCAGCUUAAAGUUGCUUCCCCUCUCUGUCAGACGCAGAUACGACAGAAGAGGGGUCAUCCAUCUGCAAAACAGAAAAAGUUUAAUUGUUCCACAAACUGAAAAUAAUUGAAACAAUUAGUUUGAUGUUAAUAUCUCAACUUUAAAAAAAAUUAACUAAACUUGUAGACCUUUACUUCUUAAAAUUUAAAGACGCGGGUUCGACUCCCGCCGCGUCCACCA